GCAAAAAGCUUGGUGUGGGAGGAUUUGGCCAGGUUUAUGAAGGGAAGCGCUUGGCAGAUGGUCUUGAGGUGGCAGUGAAAAUUGUCAAAAAGUCAAAGAACAUGGAAUAAAUCAGAAUUUUGCUAUCAAAACCCAAAUUUAAUGGAGUGGAGAAGAUCAAAACAUGGACAUACAUGGCUGCUACGGGACUGAAUGUGACCCCUGGACCGGAUUACGCACAGGUACUCUGUUUCUCUGUCCAGGUCGUAUCCAGAUUGAGCCGACACGGCUGAAAAGCAUCAACCAUUUGAGGAAAAUGAGAUGCCGAUGAGAAAGAGGACAAGGACGGGAAGUUUUGUGAAGCUGCCGUCUCUUCAUUAUCGCAGCUCAGACCAGACCACUGCACCGAUAA